rnacentral:misc_RNA from 1 species
AAGAAAUUAGACACAACCGGAGUACUCUAGAAGAGGCUUUGGACAACGAAGAUGGUACUCAAAGAAGUCGUCUUAUUGAACAAGAUGGUUUCUACAGGGAGAGAUCAGAACACACUCAAUUGCAUUACUCGGGGCAUAAUACCUCAGUCAAAUCUAAGUUCAGAAACCCUCAGUCAUCUCUCACUAGUCAUGGGAACCCUCGGCUAGCUGAUGACAACGAAGCAGACAAUGUCAAUGACAAGUCAGUCCCAGUCUUUCGAUCAUCAAUAUCAAUUGGAGACAUACUAAGUAGGAAGCUGAUUUUGCGAGAUGAUCAUAUUGUCGUGGGUAAGCAUAUGGAAAGCCACACCGAAAGAAAGCACGUGUCGUUUAGCCAAAUGUUGAGGGAACAGAGUGGGAUCAUAUUGAAUCCCACAAAAGCUAUGAAAGAAGGGGAUGUACACAAGCAGUUUAUUACACAUAAGAAGAAGUUUGGUUUCAUCCAAGUACCACUUCCCAGACAGAAUAAGAAAAAGACACAGCCUUUGAACAUGAGAUGAUCUGCCCUUCCUCUUACAUCAGUCUUAUACUUGUUUACUCGGCUUGCACAUCUUUUCGAUUUUUUUUUGCAGUGUGUAUUAUCUGUUGUGUUUGUGAUUUGUGAUUACUGAGCGUUGCCGUUUUCUCUUCAUGAUUGGUGUAAAGCUCCUCUUGAAGCUAACGAUCUUGUGCAUUUU